rnacentral:rRNA from 1 species
AGUGAACGCUGGCGGUAGGCCUAACACAUGCAAGUCGAGCGGCAGCACAGUAAGAGCUUGCUCUUACGGGUGGCGAGUGGCGGACGGGUGAGGAAUACAUCGGAAUCUACUUUUUCGUGGGGGAUAACGUAGGGAAACUUACGCUAAUACCGCAUACGACCUACGGGUGAAAGCAGGGGAUCUUCGGACCUUGCGCGAUUGAAUGAGCCGAUGUCGGAUUAGCUAGUUGGCGGGGUAAAGGCCCACCAAGGCGACGAUCCGUAGCUGGUCUGAGAGGAUGAUCAGCCACACUGGAACUGAGACACGGUCCAGACUCCUACGGGAGGCAGCAGUGGGGGAUAUUGGACAAUGGGCGCAAGCCUGAUCCAGCCAUACCGCGUGGGUGAAGAAGGCCUUCGGGUUGUAAAGCCCUUUUGUUGGGAAAGAAAAGCAGCAGGUUAAUACCCCGCUGUUCUGACGGUACCCAAAGAAUAAGCACCGGCUAACUUCGUG